rnacentral:rRNA from 1 species
GAUGAACGCUAGCGGCAGGCUUAACACAUGCAAGUCGAGCGCUCCAGCAAUGGAGAGCGGCAAACGGGUGCGGAACACGUACACAAUCUACCCUCUACUGGGGAAUAGCCUUUCGAAAGGAAGAUUAAUACCCCAUAAAAUAGCAGUUAGGCAUCUAACAACUAUUAAAGUUCCGGCGGUAGGGGAUGAGUGUGCGUCCUAUUAGGUAGUUGGUAGGGUAACGGCCUACCAAGCCGACGAUAGGUAGCUGGUGUGAGAGCACGACCAGCCACACGGGAACUGAGACACGGUCCCGACUCCUACGGGAGGCAGCAGUGAGGAAUAUUGGUCAAUGGGCGAAAGCCUGAACCAGCCAUGCCGCGUGGAGGAUGAAGGCCCUCUGGGUUGUAAACUCCUUUUAUAAAAGAAGAAACCCCAUUUUUCUAAAUGGGUUGACGGUACUUUAUGAAUAAGCACCGGCUAACUCCGUGCCAGCAGCCGCGGUAAU